rnacentral:rRNA from 1 species
GACGAACGCUGGCGGCGUGCUUAACACAUGCAAGUCGAACGGAAAGGCCCUGCUUUUGUGGGGUGCUCGAGUGGCGAACGGGUGAGUAACACGUGAGUAACCUGCCCUUGACUUUGGGAUAACUUAAGGAAACUGGGGCUAAUACCGGAUAGGAGCUCCUGCUGCAUGGAGGGGGUUGGAAAGUUUCGGCGGUUGGGGAUGGACUCGCGGCUUAUCAGCUUGUUGGUGGGGUAGUGGCUUACCAAGGCUUUGACGGGUAGCCGGCCUGAGAGGGUGACCGGCCACAUUGGGACUGAGAGACGGCCCAGACUCCUACGGGCGGCAGCAGUGGGGAAUAUUGCACAAUGGGCGGAAGCCUGAUGCAGCAACGCCGCGUGCGGGAUGACGGCCUUCGGGGUGUAAACCGCUUUCGCCUGUGACGAAGCGUGAGUGACGGUAAUGGGUAAAGAAGCACCGGCUAACUACGUG